CUCCAGACUCCUACGGGAGGCAGCAGUGGGGAAUAUUGGGCAAUGGGGGAAACCCUGACCCAGCGACGCCGCGUGAGGGAAGAAGGUUUUCGGAUUGUAAACCUCUGUCCUUGGUGACGAUAAUGACGGUACCUGAAGAAGAAGCCCCGGCUAACUACGUGCCAGCAGCCGCGGUAAUACGUAGGGGGCAAGCGUUAUCCGGAUUUACUGGGUGUAAAGGGGGCGCAGACGGCGAUGCAAGCCAGGAGUGAAAGCCCGGGGCCCAACCCCGGGACUGCUCUUGGAACUGCGUGGCUGGAGUGCAGGAGGGGCAGGCGGAAUUCCUGGUGUAGCGGUGAAAUGCGUAGAUAUCAGGAGGAACACCGGUGGCGAAGGCGGCCUGCUGGACUGCAACUGACGUUGAGGCCCGAAAGCGUGGGGAGCAAACAGGAUUAGAUACCCUCGUAU
rnacentral:rRNA from 1 species